UACGAAGGGGGCAAGCGUUGUUCGGAAUUACUGGGCGUAAAGGGCGCGUAGGCGGUGCGUUAAGUUAGGCGUGAAAGCCCUGGGCUCAACCCGGGAACUGCGCUUGAUACUGGCGCGCUUGAAUCCAGGAGAGGUUGGUGGAAUUCCCAGUGUAGAGGUGAAAUUCGUAGAGAUUGGGAAGAACACCGGUGGCGAAGGCGGGUC
rnacentral:rRNA from 1 species